rnacentral:rRNA from 1 species
GGCCUAACACAUGCAAGUCGAACGGCAGCACAGAGGAGCUUGCUCCUUGGGUGGCGAGUGGCGGACGGGUGAGGAAUACAUCGGAAUCUACUCUGUCGUGGGGGAUAACGUAGGGAAACUUACGCUAAUACCGCAUACGACCUACGGGUGAAAGCAGGGGAUCUUCGGACCUUGCGCGAUUGAAUGAGCCGAUGUCGGAUUAGCUAGUUGGCGGGGUAAAGGCCCACCAAGGCGACGAUCCGUAGCUGGUCUGAGAGGAUGAUCAGCCACACUGGAACUGAGACACGGUCCAGACUCCUACGGGAGGCAGCAGUGGGGAAUAUUGGACAAUGGGCGCAAGCCUGAUCCAGCCAUACCGCGUGGGUGAAGAAGGCCUUCGGGUUGUAAAGCCCUUUUGUUGGGAAAGAAAUCCAUCUGGUUAAUACCCGGGUGGGAUGACGGUACCCAAAGAAUAAGCACCGGCUAACUUCGUGCCAGCAGCCGCGGUAAUACGAAGGGUGCAAGCGUUACUCGGAAUUACUGGGCGUAAAGCGUGCGUAGGUGGUCGUUUAAGUCCGUUGUGAAAGCCCUGGGCUCAACCUGGGAACUGCAGUGGAUACUGGGCGACUAGAAUGUGGUAGAGGGUAGCGGAAUUCCUGGUGUAGCAGUGAAAUGCGUAGAGAUCAGGAGGAACAUCCAUGGCGAAGGCAGCUACCUGGACCAACAUUGACACUGAGGCACGAAAG